rnacentral:lncRNA from 1 species
CAAUAUAUACCUUUCUUGAAAUUAAUACAUAUAACACAUUAUAUUCUACUCAUAUAGAGAAUCAAAGAGCUACGAGUAACAAGACAGAGAAGGUAGCUACAAAGUACUUCUCGCAAUACAAGUCUUAACCAAAUCAAAGAGCUACGAGUAACAAGACAGAGAAGGUAGCUACAAAGUACUUCUCGCAAUACAAGUCUUAACCAAAAAACCCAGAUAUCCCUUGCAUUCGAUCAUCAAUUCAAAUCCACAACAAAAUUCUAAACAAGCAAAUGAUAGUGGCUUUAUUAUGUUUUUCAAAAUAUACUACAUACCCCUGUCAUCCGUUUAAUACCAAAGAUUAAGGUCCCAGAACAUGUCAGACAUAUG